AAUCAACGCUGGCGGCGUGCCUCAGACAUGCAAGUCGAACGCGAAAGGUUCCUUCGGGGACCGAGUAGAGUGGCGCACGGGUGAGUAACACGUAGGUAAUUUGCCUUUGGGUGGGGAAUAACUCAGGGAAACUUGAGCUAAUACCGCAUAAUGCAGCGGCUCGACAUCGAGACAGUUGUUAAAGCGGGGGAUUCGCAAGAACCUCGCGCCUAAAGAGAAGCCUGCGGCAGAUAGCUAGUUGGUAAGGUAAUAGGCUUACCAAGGCGACGAUCUGUAACCGGCCUGAGAGGGCGGUCGGUCACACUGACACUGACAUACGGGUCAGACUCCUACGGGAGGCAGCAGUCGGGAAUUUUGGGCAAUGGGCGAAAGCCUGACCCAGCAACGCCGCGUGAAGGAUGAAA
rnacentral:rRNA from 1 species